GUGUCAUUUCUGAGCAGGGAAGGUGUGAUCUGGGGCCAGAAUGAAUGGCCCUGGUGACUUCUUACCUGAUUCAUCCCACACCAGUCAGAAGGGGCUGUGAAGGCAGCAGCGAAGGAGCCACACAUGGACGUGGAAUGGGCACGCUGACCAUCAUGGUCACGACUGCAAGAAAGCAGAAUUGAUAAAAUGGCUAAACAGUGUAUAUUAUGGUAGUCGGAGAGAUGAGUUGGUUAUAACCCCGGCUCUUUCUUGCAGGGCUGCGUGGGUUAAUUGGCUGUGUCUGAGGGUCACCCCUGCACAAGGAGGAUGAUGACGACUGCCCUGUGCAACCCUGGGUCAUCUCAGGGGAGAGCCAUUCCCAGGUUCACAGCAAGCACUCUUUUACUCAGAUGGGCCACCUGCAUCAGGCCCCAAGGAAGCACUUAUUAGUAGAAGAAAAAAAACAAAAACCCAGAAAACAGCCAGUGAGACUAUUUUACAAACAAGCGAAGAGCAGCAACUGAAAGCAACAAUAACUACAACAUAAAUCCCUCUGCAAAUAUUUGGGAUUUCAUUUCCACUAAGGAUAAUGAUGGCGUAGAAGGCAUGUCUGUGGGAGUUAUGCACACAGGGAAAAAGGUGGUGAAAAUAAUCAACCAAAAAUAACAAAAUUCAAUUAAUCAAAACAGAACAAAAUAAAAUGAGCCAAACAGCAUAUCUGAAUAUAAGCAUAAUAAUUGUCGUUGGACAAACCUUUGUCAAAUCAAAUUGGCUUCUAGCACACGGGCUGAUACUUUGUGAUUCAAGUGGUGUUCUACCCACAUAAUUCAUUUAGUUGCAAAGAAUGUAACAAAUAAUGCAAUUAUUCCAGAGGAUCACGGUGAGACAUCUAUUUGGUGGUGCCUUAAGCAGAGUGCCCUGAUUCAGAAGAAUUAGACCAAUCUCUGGAUUCACAGCCACUCAUGAAAACUGUAGGCCGGGCACGGUGGCUCAUGCCUGUAAUCCCAGCACUUUGGGAGGCCAAGGCGGGUGGAUCACGAGGUCAGGUGAUCGAGACCAUCCUGGCUAACAUGGUGAAACCCCGUCUCUACCAAAAAUACAAAAAGAAAUUAGCUGGGAGUGGUGGCGGGCACCUGUAGUCCCAGCUACUCGGGAGGCUGAGGCAGGAGAAUCGCUUGAACCCAGGAGGUGGAGGUUGCCGUGAGCCGAGAUCACGCUACUGCACUCCAAUCUGGGUGACCGAGCAAUACUCCGUCUAAAAAAAAAAAGUAAUAAUAAUAAUAAAAUAGGAAACUGCAGUAACUCGGGACAUCUGGGUUCCUUGUCUUUUGUCAAAAUCACAGGGAAUUCAACUCACUGAAUCUAUUGGUCAAUUCAAUUCCGCCAUUGGUCAGUAUGACUCGGCUUUUGACAGAGAGUUUUACCCAAAGACUUGCAGAACUUCCUUCCUGCAAGAUUUCAGAAGCACAGCAAGCAUUGCAAGAGGAAACUACCUUAUAAAUCAUACAAACCCAGCAUCGUGUUCUUUGCUUGUCCUUGCCUGAAUUUACUGGAAAAUCAUGUUGUGAAACCUAAAUGCAAAUGAACCUUUCUUAUUGCAAAUUAAAAACUAAAUCCAUUUUCAACUGAAUUCAAUGGGAAAAACAAGAAUUAUUUUCCUAAAAAGUAAAUAUCCACCACUCCGUAAUAAUUGUGAUCCGCUGUGGCUUAUGUGUCGUGUCUCAGGACAUGGACUCGGUCCUCUGCAUACCUUACCUCUCAUCCUGCAAUAAUCCUGAACAGGUUCCCAUUAUCCCCAUUUUAGAGGUAAGAAAAACACAGCUCUAAGGGUCUAAGUAACAAUCCCAAAGCCAGAAAUCAGUGCAAUCUUUCCUUGUAGGUUCCAUAAAGGAAGACUCCUCAUUGCUCGCUCAGGGUAAAUGUCUACUCUUUGCAAAUGCCAUUCUUAGCAAUCCUUUAAAAACAGUAACUCCUAGAUUGUAGUACUGCUCAAAGUUUCUAAGGAAACUCACAAGCUUAAAGAAAUGGCCGUGGGGUACUUGGGUAAUAGCUUCCCCACUUUCUUAUCCAGGAGCCUGGCUUCCAGGUGUUACCCUAGGCUGGUCAUGAAGAUACGUCCACCUUUUUUUUUGUUUUAAGUUACAGAGUUGCAAAUAUUUUUAAUAUUUUAAAUUGAUAAACCCAAGUUAUUUGAAUGCCAUCUUUAAAGUUUUUGAUUUGUUUUGCUUGUUUGUGCCUUGUCUUGUUUUUAAAACUUUUAUUUUAGGUUCAAGGGUACAUGUGCAGGUUUGUUAUAUAGGUACACUCCUGUCACGGGGGUUUGUUGUAUAGAUUAUUUCCUGAUCCAGUUACUAAACCUACACAUCCUGAAAAGGCAACAUUUCUGAUUCCCUAAGUGCAGGGAGCUCAGUGGGUGGGGCACAAUUGAUUAAUGGUGACCCAGCAGCUGCAGGCAUGCCUUCCCCUCUUAAAUCCUAUAAACCUUUCUCCCAGGGCAGAGAAUGGGACUGGCCUUGUUCCCACAGCUCCCUCCCCUUGCCAUCCUUGAGCCUUGAGAAGGAGCUGCUUACACAGCGAAGAAGGCCGGAAGGUCUGUGCGACAUUCUUUGGUACCAUCUGUGGACAUUACUGUUCCAUGCAGCCGAGGCUCCGUCCAGCGUUCACUGAUCUUACUGUACCUCCCCUCAGAUCUAGGGGAACGUGCUGGGAGCCGCUUCAGAAAUGGGGGACUUUCUUUUUUUUUUUUUUUUGAGAUUUAAAAAACUUUAAUCUCCAAAUUAAGUAUUUCUUUAUAGAACUCUGUUUUAGACAACAAAGAAUGGUAACAUAGUUAAGAGCCCAAACUCUGUGGUCAGGUACAUCUGAGCUAAUGAAUAUACUUAGAAUUCCUGGCAUGUGGUGAGCACUUGGUAGACAUUAUUAUUAUUGUUAUUAAUAAUACCCCAAAUCCAUCCUUCCUCCCAGUUAAUUUCUUUUUUUUUUUCUAUUAUACUUUUAAGUUUUAG
rnacentral:lncRNA from 1 species